rnacentral:rRNA from 1 species
GUCUAUGGCCACACCACUCUGGCAACGCCCGAUCUCGUCCGAUCUCGGAAGCUAAGCAGGGUCGGGCCUGGUUAGUACCAUCAUCUUGGAUGGGAGACCUCCUGGGAAUACCGGGUGACGUAGGCU